AUGGUUGCCGGCACCAGCACACUCCCCCAACCCGGAACCAGCCAAGAGCUGGAAGUCAGCACAAGCGCACUCACCCAAGCCGGCACCAGCGCACUCACCCAAGCAGGCACGAGCACGAGCACCCAAGCCGGCACAAGCCAAGAGCUGGAAGCCGGCACCAGCGCACUCACCCAAGCUGGAAACAGCGUACACACCCAAGCCAGCACCAGCUCACACACCCAUGCCGGCACAUGCGCAAUCACCCAAGCCGGACCCAGCGCACUCAACAAAGCCGGCAACAGACAAGACAUGGAAGGUGGCACCAGCGCACUCACCCAAGCUGGCACCAGCCAAGGCCUGGAGGCCGUCACCAGCCAAGACCUGGAAGCAAGCACCAGCGCACCCACCCAAGCCAGCAACAGCCAAGGACUGGAAGCAAGCACCAGCGUACACACCCAAGCCACUACCAGCCAAGUGCUGGAAACUGGCACCAGCGCAACCACCCAAGCAGGCACCAGCCAAGGCCCUGAAGCUGGCACCAGAGCACACACCCAAGCCAAUACCAGCCAAGGCCUGGAAGCCAGCACCAGCGCAACCACCCAAGUCGGCACUAGCCAAGGGCUGGAAGCUAGCACCAGUGCACCCACCCAAGCUGGCAACAGCCUAGGCCUGGAUGCUGUCACCAGUGCGCCCAAACAAGCCAGCACCAGCCAAGACCUGGAAAUCGGCACCAGUGCACCCACCCAAAACGGUACCAACCUAGGCCUGGAUGCCGGAACCAGUACACCCACCCAAGCCAGCACCAGCCAAGAACUGGAAGUCGGCAGCAGAGGAGGCCUGGAAGGAGACACCAGUGCACCCACCCAAGCCAGCACCAGCCAAGGCCGGGAAGCCGGCACCAGCCAAGGCCGGGAAGCCGGCACCAGCCAAGGCCUGGAAGCUGACACCUGUGCACCCACCCAAGCCGGCACCUGUGCACCAACAGAAGCCCGCACCAGCCAAGGCCUGGAAGCCGGCACCAGUGCACCCACCCAAGCCAGCACCAGCCAAGGCCUGGAAGCCGGCACCAGUGCACCCACCCAAGCCGGCUCCAGCCAAGGUCUGUAUGCCGGCAACAACCAAGGCCUGGAGGCCAGCAACAGCCAAGGCCUGGAAGGCAGCACCAGUGCACCCACCCAAGCCGGCACCAGUGCACCAACACAAGCCCGCACCAGCCAAGGCCUGGAA
rnacentral:lncRNA from 1 species